rnacentral:miRNA from 1 species
CCUAGGGAACUUGUUAAAAUGCAGUCUGACUCAGUAAGUCUAGGCUGGGGCCUGAGAUUCUGCAUUUCUGAUAAGCUCCCAGGUGAUGCUGAUGCUGCAGGUCC